UUUGCACAGGGCAUAGCACCGGGCCUAGUAUAAAUUUCCCGCCAGUUGCCGGCCUCAGCAGAUCAAGGUGAAGGCACCCACUUUAUUCUCUGUUUCUUUACUCUCUUCCCAAGGGACUCUGAAGGCCCAGCUGCUGCUCCAGUCACACCCCAGGCAAGCAGGGUCUGAGGGAGGACCAUGGCACAGGGAGCCACCAGCAGGAGCAACUAUUGCCUGAGUCUGAGCCUUUUCACCCUGCUGAGCUAUCUGGGGACCACACUGCCAGAAGUGACUUGGCACCUUGACUCUCUGUGGUUCCACACUACCGGGCCUUCCAUGGUUUGAGGAAGGAAGUCAUGAAAAAGUUAUGGCAGGGACGGUGUGGGAGGAAUUACACGGACGAAUAGCACAGCCGAGCAUCUAGUGAUGCCCCAGACACCCGGGGUCUGCAGGGAGUUUAAACCAGUCACCAGACUGGAUAUGCUGGGGACAAUGCUAGAAUGUAAGGCAGGCUAUGCUCUGAGGACUGCCUUCUCCUCGGAUUCCUCCCAAGCCCCAUGUCCUUGAACUUUCUUUUCUACCAUCCUGUGGUGCUCCUCCAGCAGGUCACAACGGAUACUUCGAGGGACAAGGUAGCCACACCACCCACUUUCUCACGUUUACUCCCUACCCCCCCCCCGUUUUUUCAUUUCCUUCUUUCGUUUCAAUGUUUUUGUUUUAAGGCGUUACACUACCACUUUCGCUAUAGAAUCAGAAACAAUCCCUUGUCUCUCGUGCUCUACCCAAUGCUGGGAUUGCAGGUGUGUGGCACCAGGCUCAGCUUCAGCGUCUGCCCAUGUGACUCUUUAGCCACCAGCCAGCUCUGCUUCCUUCCCUGCCCUUCUAGCCUUCCCCACUUUUCUCUCCACUGGAUGUCUUUUAGACCCCUAUCCAGCAGAUGUCAAUCUCCUGCCCGAAGACACCUCAUUAGGAGCUGAAACACCUUGUCCUCUGCAGGCUCCUGGCAAUGGUUCUGGGUGGGGACCUAUAGAAACUUCUGCCCUUGGUCCCAGGCCCCGUGUCAUCUACCUCCUCGCUAGAUAGCAUCAGAUAAUGGUGUUCAUUAGGCAGAAGUAGCUUUUUUAGUUCUGUAACUGGCAGACACUAAGUUUUUACUCAAUCUGGUGGGCCUCACUAUAUCUCUAGUUCUGCAUCAACUACUCAGUUCUGCUUUUGGGGUGACAGUGGCAGAAGGCAACAAUCUGAUGAAUGAGCAGCAGACUUGUCCUCAAACCUAGAUUAGGGUGUUUCCCAUGGUCCCGUAUUGGUGCCCAUCCCCCCAGAGUGUCUUCGAGAGAAUUCUGAUAACUACCUCUUUCCCAGGCAGCACUGGCUUCUGUGCUGCCUGUGAUUCUGGGUCAGCUAGAAGUGACAGGAGGAGGUCCUGGGUUUAAGGCCUUUUGGUCUCUCCAUGGCUGUCCAGUGCAUUCUCUGGGUCCCAUGGAACACAGAGGACUCUCCUUAAAGCCUGAAGUGCUUGCCGGGGUAGAGGUGUCAACUUACUUGAGAACUGACCUCAGUCCUUUUCUCUAGAUGAGAUAAGUCUUAUAAUCGUCUGGAGAAGACCAGAUGUUCUGUCAGUCAGGAGUCCUUGUCCCUUCAUCCUAGGGAGCUCUCAACAACACAUGAGCGACCUGUUGUUUUUCUGCAUCAGUGUCUCAAUUCUGGAUACCUUGUCUGACUGUGAUCUGUCCAUCUAAUACCCUAGUGGGAAACAGCUCAUCUCAUGAUGCCUUUCUGAGGCCUGAUGGGACUUCCA